UACGUAGGGUGCAAGCGUUGUCCGGAAUUAUUGGGCGUAGAGAGCUCGUAGGCGGUUUGUCGCGUCUGCUGUGAAAACGCGAGGCUCAACCUCGCGCCUGCAGUGGGUACGGGCAGACUAGAGUGCGGUAGGGGAGAUUGGAAUUCCUGGUGUAGCGGUGGAAUGCGCAGAUAUCAGGAGGAACACCGAUGGCGAAGGCAGAUCUCUGGGCCGUAACUGACGCUGAGGAGCGAAAGCGUGGGGAGCGAACAGG
rnacentral:rRNA from 1 species